CUACGGGUUGCUGCAGUGGGGAAUAUUGGACAAUGGGGGAAACCCUGAUCCAGCAAUGCCGCGUGUGUGAAGAAGGCCUGCAGGUUGUAAAGCACUUUCGGUUGGGAGGACUGCUUCUAGCACUAAUAUUGUUGGAAGUUGACGUUACCUUCAGAAGAAGCACCGGCUAACUCCGUGCCAGCAGCCGCGGUAAUACGGAGGGUGCAAGCGUUAAUCGGAACUACUGGGCGUAAAGCGCGCGUAGGCGGCUAGAUCAGUCGGGUGUGAAAGCCCCGGGCUUAACCUGGGAACUGCAUCCGAUACUGUCUAGCUUGAGUACAGGAGAGGAGAGUGGAAUUCCACAUGUAGCGGUGAAAUGCGUAGAUAUGUGGAGGAACACCAAUGGCGAAGGCAGCUCUCUGGCCUGAUACUGACGCUGAGGUGCGAAAGCGUGGGGAGCAGACAGGAUUAGAUACCCCAGUAGUC
rnacentral:rRNA from 1 species